rnacentral:rRNA from 1 species
UACGUAGGGUGCGAGCGUUAAUCGGAAUUACUGGGCGUAAAGCGUGCGCAGGCGGUUUUGUAAGCCAGAUGUGAAAUCCCCGGGCUUAACCUGGGAAUGGCAUUUGGGACUGCAAGGCUGGAGUGUGGCAGAGGAGACUGGAAUUCCCGGUGUAGCAGUGAAAUGCGUAGAUAUCGGGAGGAAUACCGAUGGCGAAGGCAGGUCUCUGGGCUGACACUGACGCUCAUGCACGAAAGCGUGGGAGAACAACGAUGA